GACAGAGGGUGCAAACGUUUGUUCGGAUUUACUGGGCGUAAAGCGCGUGUAGGCGGCUUUGCAAGUCGGAUGUGAAAGCCCACGGCUCAACCGUGGAAGUGCAUCCGAAACUGCAUGGCUGGAGUCUCGGAGAGGAAGGUGGAAUGACUUGGUGUAGAGGUGAAAUUCGUAGAUAUCAAGCAGAACACCUGCGGCGAAGGCGGCCUUCUGGACGAUGACUGACGCUGAGACGCGAAAGCGUGGGGAGCAAACAGG
rnacentral:rRNA from 1 species